AGUCUAAUCUGGGAUUUUUAAAAAUAAACCCAAAAAUUGCCUAAAUCCCUAAUCUAAUUGGGGUUAUUAAAUAACCCCAAUCUUAACCCAUUUUGUCCAAGCCCAACACAAACAAAGACAUCAGCCCACUUCCAAAUCCACCAUGUCCCGGGUCCAUCCCUUUUUCCUUUCUUCAGGAUACAGAACAGCAAAUAUACACGUACAACAGCUUCCAAACAUUGAGAAACCAACACCAACCAACUCUAAAUACCCGAUCCCAUCGGCUCCAACGACAUCAGCGAAAACCCGAUUCCAUCAGCCCCAACCCAUCUAUUUUUCUUCAGGCGCAUCUCACGCAUCCGUAGGACAAGAAAAGGAUUUAAAAAUCUUCUAGAACAAGCUAGGUGUCACCCUCAACGGCUAAAAUCUGUGAAUCUCAGGAUAAUGGUAUGAUUUUCGUACAUGUUUGGCAAAAUUUGAUUGGUUCAUGAAAUAAUUCUGGUCUCCUCAUUCCUAUUGGAUACUUAUUCCGAAUUUGGGGGGGAGAAAUCCAAUAAGGGGGUACAAUUUGAUAGCAUUCUCAUAUUUUGAAUUCAAAAAAUGAACCCUUAAUCCCCCUUUCUAUAAAUAGCUCUCUUUAGAGCAAGAAAAAAAAGGAUGGUUUUUCUUCUGGGUCACUGUUGUUAGGGUUCAAAAUCUUGGGUCUGGAAGAGGGGAAUUAUUUAGAAAAGCUAAGUUAGAAUUUUUGGAUUCAGAAAAAUCCAAGGAAGAAAGAUAAAGAGAAAGAAAUUUUUGAGAAAAUUGAGUCUGGAGUAGGAAUUUUGUCCUUGUUUUGAAAGUUGGUAGGCUAAAUUAAUGUUUUGAGUUGACGGUGAAGAAGUUUUCUGGUGGUCAUGAUCUCUGUAACCAGUUCGUCGUCUCAUUUUGCUGCUCCUGAACAAGGGUCCAAAUGGACUCUUUAUCGACGCAUCUCAUAAUGGUCCAACAUGACCCAUCUUUCUAUCAAGUCUACUUUAGAAGAAAGCCCAAAGCUGGUUAAGUAACGAACUGACGCAUGAAGUCGAAAGAAGAAGAAAUGGGUUAAAGUCUCAUUCUUGAAGCGGUUAAGAGACAAAAGUCUUAUUUAUUAUUUCAUUUCGUUUAAUUAUUGUUGUCUUUAUUUAUUUUAUUAGUUUAUUUAUUUUAUUCAUU